UACGAAGGGGGCUAGCGUUGCUCGGAAUCACUGGGCGUAAAGGGCGCGUAGGCGGCCAUUCAAGUCGGAGGUGAAAGCCCAGGCUCAACCCUGGAAUUGCCUUCGAUACUGUUUGGCUAGAGACCGGAAGAGGUAAGUGGAACUGCGAGUGUAGAGGUGAAAUUCGUAGAUAUUCGCAAGAACACCAGUGGCGAAGGCGGCUUACUGGUCCGGUUCUGACGCUGAGGCGCGAAAGCGUGGGGAGCAAACAGG
rnacentral:rRNA from 1 species